AUUGAACGCUGGCGGCAUGCUUUACACAUGCAAGUCGAACGGUAACAGGUUAAGCUGACGAGUGGCGAACGGGUGAGUAAUGCAUCGGAACGUGCCCGGUCGUGGGGGAUAACGCAGCGAAAGCUGCGCUAAUACCGCAUACGAUCUGAGGAUGAAAGCGGGGGACCGUAAGGCCUCGCGCGAUCGGAGCGGCCGAUGUCAGAUUAGGUAGUUGGUGGGGUAAAGGCUCACUCAGCCGACGAUCUGUAGCUGGUCUGAGAGGACGACCAGCCACACUGGGACGGAGACACGGCACAGACGCCUAGGGGAGGCAGCAGUGGAGAAUUUUGGACAAUGGGCGCAAGCCUGAUCCAGCAAUGCCGCGUGCAGGAAGAAGGCCUUCGGGUUGGAAACUGCUUUUGUACGGAGCGAAAAGGCUCUCUCUAAUACAGGAGGCUCAUGACGGUACCGUAAGAAUAAGCACCGGCUAACUACGUGCCAGCCGCCGCCGUAA
rnacentral:rRNA from 1 species